rnacentral:rRNA from 1 species
UACGUAGGUGGCAAGCGUUAUCCGGAAUUAUUGGGCGUAAAGAGCGCGCAGGUGGUUAAUUAAGUCUGAUGUGAAAGCCCACGGCUUAACCGUGGAGGGUCAUUGGAAACUGGUUGACUUGAGUGCAGAAGAGGAAAGUGGAAUUCCAUGUGUAGCGGUGAAAUGCGUAGAGAUAUGGAGGAACACCAGUGGCGAAGGCGGCUUCCUGGUCUGCAACUGACACUGGGGCACGAAAGCGUGGGGAGCAAACAGG